rnacentral:rRNA from 1 species
AUUGAACGCUGGCGGCAGGCCUAACACAUGCAAGUCGAACGAGUGGCGGACGGGUGAGUAAUGUCUGGGAAACUGGCCGAUGGAGGGGGAUAACUACGGGAAACGGUAGCUAAUACCGCAUACCAUCGGAUGAGCCCAGGUGGGAUUAGGUAGUAGGUGGGGCAAAGGCUCACCUAGGCGACGAUCCCUAGCUGGUCUGAGAGGAUGACCAGCCACACUGGAACUGAGACACGGUCCAGACUCCUACGGGAGGCAGCAGUGGGGAAUAUUGCACAAUGGGCGCAAGCCUGAUGCAGCCAUGCCGCGUGUAUGAAGAAGGCCUUCGGGUUGUAAAGUACUUUCAGCGGCGAGGCGUUACCCGCAGAAGAAGCACCGGCUAACUCCGUGCCAGCAGCCGCGGUAAUAC